rnacentral:rRNA from 1 species
GAUGAACGCUGGCGGCGUGCCUAAUACAUGCAAGUCGAGCGAACGGACGAGAAGCUUGCUUCUCUGAUGUUAGCGGCGAACGGGUGAGUAACACGUGGAUAACCUACCUAUAAGACUGGGAUAACUUCGGGAAACCGGAGCUAAUACCGGAUAAUAUUUUGAACCGCAUGGUUCAAAAGUGAAAGACGGUCUUGCUGUCACUUAUAGAUGGAUCCGCGCUGCAUUAGCUAGUUGGUAAGGUAACGGAUUACCAAGGCAACGAUGGAUACCCGACCUGAAAGGGAGGACGCACAGACUGGAAGUGAGAAAGGGUCCAGACUCCUACAGUGAGAAGCAGUAGGGAAUCUUCCGCAAUGGGCGAAAGCCUGACAGAGCAACGCCGCGUGAGUGAUGAAGGUCUUCGGAUCGUAAAACUCUGUUAUUAGGAAAGAACAUAUGUGUAAGUAACUGGGCACAUCUUGACGGUACCUAAUCAGAAAGCCACGGCUAACUACGUG